rnacentral:tRNA from 1 species
GGCAUCGUAUCUCAGCUGUUAGAGUGUGCGCGUACAAAGCGCAGGCGACGUCCAUGCGUGGGUUCGAAUCCCACCGAAGCUG